GAGUUUGAUCUUGGCUCAGAUUGAACGCUGGCGGCAUGCCUUACACAUGCAAGUCGAGCGGAUGACGGGAGCUUGCUCCUUGAUUCAGCGGCGGACGGGUGAGUAAUGCCUAGGAAUCUGCCUGGUAGUGGGGGACAACGUUUCGAAAGGAACGCUAAUACCGCAUACGUCCUACGGGAGAAAGCAGGGGACCUUCGGGCCUUGCGCUAUCAGAUGAGCCUAGGUCGGAUUAGCUAGUUGGUGGGGUAAUGGCUCACCAAGGCGACGAUCCGUAACUGGUCUGAGAGGAUGAUCAGUCACACUGGAACUGAGACACGGUCCAGACUCCUACGGGAGGCAGCAGUGGGGAAUAUUGGACAAUGGGCGAAAGCCUGAUCCAGCCAUCGCCGCGUGUGUGAAGAAGGUC
rnacentral:rRNA from 1 species